AGGGGCGACACAAAGACGGUCCUUUGACUUACUUUUACAGUUACCGGUUUAGUUGUGUUUUGGUCUUCAACGAGAGAACUUAGUAAUUUUCGCAGGAAGCCACUCUAGCAAGAAUUAAGCAAGAGUCGACACUUAGAUUCUGCACUUCCAGGGACUUUGACACACUAUCUCCAAAAUUGGACUUAGAAUUUUUCUCACCUUCGUGCUACUUUGACAAUCUAUCUGCACGAACGGACUUAGAAAUUUUCGCACCUUCGAGAUACUUUGACAAUCUAUCGCCACGAGUGAACUUAGAGAUUUCUGCACUUUCGGAAGACUUUGAAAAUCUAUCUCCACGAAUGGACUUAGAAAUUUUCGCAGGAAGCCACUCUAGCAAGAAUUAACGAAGAGUUGACGCAAGUAUAUUUUCUAUCACUCUUAUUUUCAUAAUUCUGUACUGUUUCUUUUGUUUCAGACUUAGAUUCUGCACUUCCAGGGACUUUGACAAACUAUCUCCAAAAUUGGACUUAGAAAUUUUCUCACCUUCGAGAUACUUUGACAAUCUAGCGCCACGAGUGAACUUAGAAAUUUUUCCACUUUCGGGGGACUUUGACAAUCUAUUUCCACGAGUGGACUUAGAAAUUUUCACAUGAUACCAUUCGAGCGAGUAUUAACGAAAACUUAAAAACCCGUUACAAUCACGCACGUUGCAAUGAUGUAAUCGAGUGUUAGUACCGCUAAAAUAAAUUUAUCGUGAAAUAGAAGCAGUGUUUGUUCGUUCGCGUUUCGCGAUUUAAAUCAUAAGUGUUUUUGCACAGACUGCGUGCAAUGCAGUCUUUAGAGUCAGUGUUUGUUCGCGUAGUUUUUUGAUUUUUUAACAGUCGCACAGACUGUACUUAUAAAAUAUAGUAGAGUUUCGUUAAGUAAAUUCAGUGAUCGUUCGUUAAUAAAUAACUAUCGCGAGUUAGAGUCAGUGCAUCACUGAAGAGGAUCUCAACCAACUUCGAUGUCGACCUACCUCAUUUUCAACCAACUACAAAUCAUCCACCCUCAAUUUCGACCUAAGUCGCGGUCCAGUGUUUUGGAGCCGUCGCAGAACUUCUUAAGUAGUAAGUUAAUUUUUAAGUC